CCGCGGCAAGGAUAGUAAUGAAAAGCCCGGAAUGGAGCGGAGUGCAACGAAGCGAUAUGAGGACUUGCAAUGUAUAGCCUGAUCCCGU
rnacentral:misc_RNA from 1 species